CUACGGGCGGCUGCAGUGGGGAAUAUUGCACAAUGGAGGAAACUCUGAUGCAGCCAUGCCGCGUGUGUGAAGAAGGCCCGAGGGUUGUAAAGCACUUUCAAUUGGGAGGAAGGUAGUGUAGUUAAUACCUGCAUUAUUUGACGUUACCUUUAGAAGAAGCACCGGCUAACUCUGUGCCAGCAGCCGCGGUAAUACAGAGGGUGCAAGCGUUAUUCGGAAUUACUGGGCGUAAAGCGCGCGUAGGCGGACUGUUAAGUCGGUUGUGAAAGCCCUGGGCUCAACCUGGGAACUGCAUCCGAUACUGGCAAUCUAGAGUUUAAGAGAGGAAAGUGGAAUUCCUAGUGUAGCAGUGAGAUGCGUAGAUAUUAGGAGGAACAUCAGUGGCGAAGGCGACUUUCUGGCUUAAAACUGACGCUGAGGUGCGAAAGCGUGGGUAGCGAACGGGAUUAGAUACCCCUGUAGUC
rnacentral:rRNA from 1 species